UAUUGUUUUAAACUGAUUUAUGGAGAGAAAAUGACAGUGACUCUAUAUAAAAAAAAAUAGUGUGUGUAAUUACAGAAACACACAGUUCACAUGUGAAUGGGGGUAUACAGGUUUGUGAGACAGUGCUUAGGAAGAAAAUAGAUGUAAGAAUAUAACAUACAAACCAAUGUUAAUUAUUUUUUAAUAACAGCAUUGACUAUUUUGGCCUUCAGUUUAAAAUGUAUCCACAAUUCCUGCUUUCAUAUCAAUGAAAGUCUAUUUUAGAUGUUCCACAUGUGUUACUAGGUUGUGUCCUGUCUCCAUCUUAUGCAGAUUAAGGAGCAUCACACUCUGUCCCUGACGAGAGCAAUGUGUGACAUGCGUUAAUUGUAAUGCAUGCCGGGUCUGGGAUAUUAGGCUGCAGCCUCUUCAGCCAGAACCUCCUGGAAUUGUUUCCUGACAAGGCCCAUUCAUCCUGUAAUGUACUGACUAGGUUGUGGGGGAAGGGAGUGGAAAAUAUAACAAGG